rnacentral:tRNA from 1 species
GCCGGCCUAGCUCAAUUGGUAGAGCAACUGGCUUGUAAUCAGUAGGUUGGGGGUUCAAGUCCUCUGGCCGGCACCA